AUGGAGUACCUGCAAUCUUAUCACUGUUUACUCUGCUACUUUCUGCUGGCUCUUAGAGAUCCUGCACUCUGUGCUAAAGAGAUCACUGUUAGCCCAGACAAACCCAUUGUCAAGCUGGGAGAUGCUGUGACCUUGAUCUGUGAGACAACCUGUCCCCAAGUCAAACCACGCUGGAUGGAACUAGACGAGAGCGAUGUCAUUCAGAAUACCACAAACAACAGAAGUUAUCUACAUAUUGCAGCUGUACAGCUGAAUCACGAGGGAAAGUAUACCUGCACAGCAGCAAAAUGUAGCAAACAGAAGAAGGAAACAAUCCAGCUCAGAGUUUACUCUUUCCCGGUGCCUGUCCUGUCCACGGUGCCAGAGAACCCUGUCUCUGGUCAACCUUUUGAGGUGAAAUGUACACUGACAAAAGUUUACCACAGAGAUGAUGACAACGUUGAGAUGCGUCUCUUCCACCUUGACAAGCUUGAAACAGAACACUCCAAAAACUGUACUGAUGACAGAUUUUGUGAUCACACGUGGUCUUCUAAGAAUCAGACGGGCACUAGCAAAACAGAUUAUCAGUGUGAAACCAAUCUUACUAUUGCCCCUAACAGCUUUACUGAAAAGGCUCGUCUUACCAUACAUUUCCAGGUUAAACCCAUGGAAGCACCAACGUCAGAACAUAUAAAUGAGGAAGGCGAAGGUCAAGGUGAUGCUGGUGAUGUCUAUAAUAAUCCCAGAAGCACUGCCACGUCUCCUGAACAGAUAGGAUCACAAACGUCAGAACCUGUCAACACGGAAGGCGAAGGUCAAGGUGAUGCUGGUGAUGUCUAUAAUAAUCCCAGAAGCACUGCCACGUCUCCUGAACAGAUAGGAUCACAAACGUCAGAACCUGUCAACACGGAAGGCGAAGGUCAAGGUGAGAUGGAUAAAUCUGAGCAGGCAGUUCUACAGUAUAUUUAAUGGAUGAGAUUGAGGUCUGAAUGCCAUUUAAAAUGAUAGUAAAACAGUCUACUUAUCACUAAAGUAAAUAUUAGGCUACAUAUUCAUAUCGCAUGCAUGACUUUUCAAACUCAAUGAAAGACCAGUGAUCUACAUGGUGUUGAGUAAAGCCAAUUUGACAAGGGGAGUUCUAGAAAGAUGCCUGAGUUUCCGAAUUGGAUGACCAUUCAAAACUAUUUUUCCCAGUCGGAGCUCGUUUUUUUUUCUUCUGAGUUUCCAGUUGUUUUGAAGGCACUUAAGUCUGAGAGUUCUGAGUUCCGAGUUCCCAGUUGUUUUGAACGUGGCAACUUUAAUGAUGGGUUGACUGUUGCUGCAUUCAAAGCAACUGUGAACUGUGAACACAGAUAUCUCCAACUUCCAACUUCAGUGGGUUCAAGACAACUGGUAACUCUGAAAAAUAUGAGCUUGGAAUUCCAAGUCGGAAAUUCUGGCAUCUUUCUAGAGCUCUGACAUUCCGACCUGAAGAUCACUGACGUCAUGAUUUUAACCUCGUUUUUUUGUUAAUUUCUUUUUUCUUUUUUUUAAUCUACAUGGUGUUGAGUAAAGCCAAUUUGACAAGGGGUUGGUUGAGUUUCCACCUCUUCAUCAGUGUGAUGAU
rnacentral:lncRNA from 8 species